rnacentral:rRNA from 1 species
GACGAACGCUGGCGGCGUGCUUAACACAUGCAAGUCGAACGGUGAAGCGCCUUCCUUUUUGGUGGGUGUGGAUGAGUGGCGAACGGGUGAGUAACACGUGAGUAACCUGCCCCCUUCUUCUGGAUAACCGCAUGAAAGUGUGGCUAAUACGGGAUAUUCUGGGUCUGUCGCAUGAUGGGUCUGGGAAAGAUAUUGUUUCGGUGGGGGAUGGGCUCGCGGCCUAUCAGCUUGUUGGUGGGGUGAUGGCCUACCAAGGCGGUGACGGGUAGCCGGCCUGAGAGGGUGGACGGUCACACUGGGACUGAGACACGGCCCAGACUCCUACGGGAGGCAGCAGUGGGGAAUAUUGCACAAUGGGCGCAAGCCUGAUGCAGCGACGCCGCGUGAGGGAUGGAGGCCUGCGGGCUGUGAACCUCUUUCGCCAGUGAAGCAGGCCUGCCUCGUUUGUGGGUGGGUUGACGGUAGCUGGAUAAGAAGCGCCGGCUAACUACGUG